rnacentral:snRNA from 1 species
GGAUGUGAGGUGAUAUGAUUAUGACCCCAUUAAUCUGUAGGGUUGAUUUAGCUGAUCUAGUUGGCAUCUUCCCUCACUGGUAUAUGUGUGUUCCUUCUGAAACUGUAUGUUAAGUCUGAGACAACAGUCUUUCCCAAGUAGAGAUGGAUCAUUCUUCAGUCAGGAAUAUAAAAGUAGAUAUACUUACCUUCUAGAACCUCCAAAAUAGCAGGAUGAUUAAGUUUCACUGUAUCACUGACAUCCUGUUCAUUGAUUUGCUCGAGUGGGUGCCAGUAAUGUCUUCAUU